GUGUGUCUGUGAAUGUAUGUGUGUGUCUGUGAGUGUAUGUGUGUAUGUGUGUCUAUGAAUGUGUGUGUGUCUGUGAAUGUGUGUGUGUCUGUGUGUCAGUGUAUGUGUGUCUGUGAAUGUAUGUGUGUGUCUGUGAGUGUAUGUGUGUCUGUGAAUGUAUGAGUGUGUGUCUGUGAGUCUAUGUGUGUGUGUGUGUCUGUGAAUGUGUCUGUGAG